UACAGAGGGUGCAAGCGUUAAUCGGAAUUACUGGGCGUAAAGCGUGCGUAGACGGUUAUGUAAGUCAGGUGUGAAAGCCCCGGGCUCAACCUGGGAAUUGCAUUUGAGACUGCAUAGCUAGGGUGCGGAAGAGGGAAGCGGAAUUUCCGGUGUAGCGGUGAAAUGCGUAGAUAUCGGAAGGAACAUCAGUGGCGAAGGCGGGUCUCUGGGCCGAUACUGACGCUGAGGAGCGAAAGCGUGGGGAGCGAACAGG
rnacentral:rRNA from 1 species